rnacentral:rRNA from 1 species
UCCAGACUCCUACGGGAGGCAGCAGUGGGGGAUAUUGCACAAUGGGGGAAACCCUGAUGCAGCGACGCCGCGUGUGGGAAGACGGUCCUCUGGAUUGUAAACCACUGUCCCCAGGGACGAAGAUGACGGUACCUGGGGAGGAAGCUCCGGCUAACUACGUGCCAGCAGCCGCGGUAAUACGUAGGGAGCAAGCGUUGUCCGGAAUUACUGGGUGUAAAGGGAGCGUAGGCGGGAUGGCAAGUUGGGUGUUAAAUCUACCGGCUCAACUGGGAGUCGCACUCAAAACUGCUAUUCUUGAGUGAAGUAGAGGCAGGUGGAAUUCCAUGUGUAGCGGUGAAAUGCGUAGAGAUAUGGAGGAGCACCAGUGGCGGAGGCGGCUUCCUGGUCGGCAACUGACACUGAGGCGCGAAAGCGUGGGGAGCAAACAGGAUUAGAUACCCUGGUAAUA